rnacentral:lncRNA from 1 species
CGCAGCUAUUUUAUAUUUGCUUCCACGUAGUUAUUUCGGGUAUAUACAUUACCCGUCAAUGCAACUGUAUAUCUGCAACUCAGUAUUUGUGCUUCAGUUCCUGAGAACAAUAAAACGGCUGACAACAAUUAAACGCAAUCGGUAAUCGCAUAGUUAAUCGAUAUUUACUGGUAAUGUUUUAUAAGAUGUGGAAAUUACUGUAAACCAGUCGGCCGCACUUGAAUGAAG